ACAAAAUGCAAAUAUGGAGUUGGACACACACUCAAUUCAUAGGAAUUCACCACAAAGAGAAGUUCUAUUAAACAUACGAAAUAACAUUACUCAAACAGAUACCAAUUAAUUGCAGAACUUGAAAGAAGUUGAUAAAUUUUAGGCUCAUGUAAUUAAUUACACAUUGACUACACAAAAUAUAACCUAAUAUUUAAUAUGAGUAAAUUAUUUCACAGAAUGCAGUUUUACAAAAAAAAAAAUAGUGAUUUUCAUAAAACCUUUAAAGAACAAGUAUUUCAGUACUAUUUUACAUAAUUUGGAAACCAUUAUCAAAUGGAAAAUGGAAAUUAGGACCUCUUAUGUGGUUUUAUUUUGU
rnacentral:lncRNA from 1 species